UAGAAAGUAUGUAGAACCAAAUCUUCAUUGUAAUUAUCUCUGAAUGAUAAUGGUUUUUACUUCUGUAUUGUAUAAACUGUUUAUAUUUAAAAUCUUAGAAAAUGUUCCUAGGAAAGAAAAAGGAAAGACUGUGAUAGCAAGCAAAACAUAGAUGGAGUCCACAUGGUCCCUCUCUGAAUCUCUCUCUGAUGUGUAUAUUUCACUGAAUCUAUGAACUAGGCUGGAGAGAAACUCUAGAUGGAGGAAGAUUCAAUUGCUUUCUGGAACAGAAGGUGUACCUACUGUUUUGUAGUUUUGCUGAUUUUGUUUUGUUUUCAAUCAGAGCAACAUUGACAUGCACCCAAAUAUAUCAUAUUUAUUUUAAUCAACUGGUAUAGUGGGAACAAAAUCUUUAUACACUCAUGUAUGCUAUAACACAUACAACCCCUACAUGCACAUACACACUUAUCCUCCCCCAAGUCUACUGAUGUGUUUGUUGGCCAAAAACUGUCGGGAAGUGUUAUGCUUUUUUUCCAGUUUUUUAGCCUACAUCUGGCAAAUUGAGAAGUAUGAGUAUGUACGUACAAGAGAAUUUUGCAAAACUAUGGCAAUCUUUCUUUGCUCUAAAUUUAUAAAAUUUUAAUGAAUUGGUGCUGUCUUACAUUCUAGUUGUUUUCAGGAAUUAAAGGAGGUUAUCCAUUGAUUAAAGAGACAUUUUAUGUGUGUGUGUGUGUUUUUAAAUAACUUACUAUUUGAUGUUUGCAAUGUCCUGGCAACACAUAGGCAUUGUACUAUUCCCCACCCAAAAUUACUUGAUUAGAAUAAUAACAUUGCUAUUCCUCAUAGUAGCUCAUCUUGUCAUUCUUCUUUGUAAUCAAUAAAGAGAUCAUAGUAGUUUUAAAAAAUACUUUGAAACAGAACAUUGAUUUAUUUGGAACUGGUUUUUAAUGUGAGAAUUCAGGGCCAUUCAACACACCUAGGCAGUUUUAUUUUCUUUGUAAAUCCAUUUGAUAAAUCACCACUUUAUGCUUAAAUAGAGAAGCAUUUGUCAGUGUAACAAAGUGGAAAACAAAACAAAACAAAACAAAACAAAACAAAACAAAACAAAACAUAGGCUUUGAGUUCAUACUGGCUUUAGUUGGAAUUCUGACUCUACUGUGUCCAAGCUGUAUGAUUUGGGGAAGGUUACUUUUCUGAGCCUCAAUUUAUUUAUCUGUACAAUCAGAAUAUUAAGGAUGAAGGGAAUGACAUUUGUAAAAGAAAAUGAUAAACUAGUAUAGAGUUUGAAACUGAAUUGGUUUAAUGUCUCUAAUUAUGUAUACUAUGCUAUAACCAUUGUUGUUUUCCCAUACUAGGGGCUUGGUAUUUCACUGGACUGAAUUAGAAGGUAGGAGGCUUAGAGUCCAGCCUAAGUUUGACUGUUACCUGGCUGAUGUGAUCCUGAGGCUGUUCAUCUUCAUCUGUAACAUGAGGAGGCAGCUGUCAGCAUACUUCCAAUUGAAUGUUUUGAGGACAUCCGGCUUUUAUAUUGACAUAAGCAUGAACCCACCCCAGAUCCCACGUGGAAGUUCUGAAGGUAUACCUCAGGCUCAGCUGUGAGCCCAGUUCUGGAGGCCAAAACUCCCAGAUCAAGGUCCUGUAGAGUUGGUUCCAGGUAAGGGUUCUCUUCCUGGCUUGCAGAUGACUACCUUCACAAGGUGUCCUCCCAUGGUAGAGAAGGAGAGAGAGUGAACAAGCUCUCUAGUAUCUCUUCUUAUAGGGAUACUAAUCCUAUAUGACCAAGGCCCCACCUUUUUUUAAAUCUUAUUUAACUUUAAUUACUUCCAGGGAGGCCCCAUGUCUAAAUACAGCCAUGCUGACAGGUUAAGUCUUCAAAAUGGGAAUUUUGGGGGAACACAAACUCAAUGCAUAAGAGUUGGGCUAUGAACUUAGGGGCUUCAGCCAACAAAUCAUGUGUGUGUGUGUGCAGGCGUGCACGCACACCCUUGUGUAUUUCCUUCACCAUAUUAGAUCUAAGAGGCAUUUUUUCCCCAAUGUUAUGAAUCUGUGACUUCCUCUUAACACUGAGGACAUAAACAGGUCUGGCAUUUUGGGUCUCUGGCUACUCUUCCUUUCCCAGCUUGUCUUGAGGACUUGCUGACAUGCAGUCCUUUCCACAGUGCUUUCCUUGGGCUUAUGUACAGUCCAUCUGUACCCAUUUGGGGCUUGUCACUUGGGAUCUUUAGUUUUGAGGACAAGGUGGGAUAAUAGUGGAGAUCAUGACCUGGAGGCUAGUUCUAUUUAAAAAGAGUUGGAUGCCUGGGGCAGGUCCCCAUUGCCCUGUCCAGGAUGAGACUGCAGCCUGCUCCAGGACCAUUUAGAGGAGUAGGAAGGAGGUGGUGAAGGUAGCCCAGGUGGCAGCCAGGACUACAGGGCUGGGAAGGGAAUUUCGCCCAACAGCAGCAGCUGCUAUUCCAUGUUGGGCUUCCUGUCUUCUUACCCUCCCAAUCAAGGAGCACAGUUAAUGUGUGGGGCUGGUGUGCCCCUUUCCUGGCUUCCUCCAUCUAUGCCUCACGUUCAAAUUACUAGGGGGACAUUUAAAUAUUAUUAGUGCUCACCCCAUCCUGAGAGAUUCUGCUUUAACUGGAGUGGGACUUAGGGUCCCUAUUUUUUGAAAGCUCCUUAAGUGAUUUCAACAUGUGGCCAAGGAUGAAAAUUGGACACAUUCCCUCUGCCCCAUUUUCGAGGGGGGUGGGGCAAAUGCUGUGAUUCCCAGGCUCCUACAGCCCCAUCCAAUUUGAUUCUCUCAAGACCUGUGGGAUAGAAGGUAUCAUUACCUUGCAUUUGGCCUGUGAGUUGGGAGGCUUUUGUGGGUAGGCAGGUUUAGGUAGAAAGAAAGGCCAGUCUUGGUAUAAGGAAAUCAGGAAGGAAUGAUAUUGUGUUCUUGCUUUUUAGAGCAGACAGGAUUUCAUUCAGUUAUUCAUUGAACAGUAUUUACUGAACAGCCCCUCCAUGCCAGGUGCCAUACCAGGGGAUGGAUUAAGAGCUAGCCCUUGACACGUGACACCCUCUGGGGCUCAGCCUUAGUGAUUCUUUGGAGAAGCGUGUGUUGUCAGAGCACUGUGGAACUGGAAAAGAUACCGCCAGGCAUGGUUUUCUUUGCCUACACGACUCGAAUACUGAAAGAAUGAAAGUAAUUUAUUCUUCCAUUUAAAAUGAAGCCUAGUCAGAAUUUGUAAUCUUGCUGAGAUGUAAAUUCACAAACCAUAGCAAAGGAUAAUUAUGGCAAAUUGAAAUUAUAGCUUGAUGACCAGGAAGAGAGAACACAUCACGCUAGACUCACAAAUUCUACUCUGGCAAAGCUGAUGGCUCUGACACCCAUGAAGUCCAUCCAUCUCUGCGCAGGGACAUUCCGCUAAACCAAGCCAACUGAUACCUCACAUUCUGAAGAUUUUUUGAAUAUUAUUACUAAGGCAUUUUCCAUUGUUUUGUUUUAAUUCAAGUGGGUUUUUAUUUGAGACUUAGAGGUCAUAAGUUUUAUAUCCUCAGGCUUGAUUUAAACAGCCACGGCAGAUAGUAAACAACGGUCUCAUUUUCUUGUAACAAUAGUUCAUGACAUUGUGGUAAGAAACUACGCUUAGCAGCUGAACAUAACAAAAAAUCGCAUGGUCUUUGGAGUUGAACUGGCCCAAAUAUGAAUCCUGGUUCUUUCAUUUACUUUGUUGGGAUCUAGGGCAAGUUACUUAAGCAUUUUAAGCCUCUGUUUCUUCAUUUUAAAAAUGGGGAUAGCAAUGUGAAAGAGUAUAUAUAUGCCUUGAGCAGUGGCUAGUACGUAACUGGUUUUUGAUAAAUAUUCCUUUCUCCAUGUGUAAUGACAUGACACAUGGCACAUUUCAGGACCCUGGUUUAAGGAUAAGUGAAGCACACAAGAGGUCUUGGUUGAAAUUUUGCAUUGGAAAAGGAGAUUUUAUAAUUUCCACCAUGAAUUAUAAAUAUCUAAGGAAAAGAAAUGGUGUGUUUCUUAUGCUUGUAGAUUGAUUUUAAUCCUGUACGCUUGUGAAUAGUUGAAUAGUAGGCAGACGCAACGGCUUUAUGUUAAAGUAACAAGACAAACAAUAAUACCUGUCAAUAGAGCCUGCCUUCUGUGCCACACACUUUGUAUCUUCUUAUUAUUUUUAAGGCAGAGUCU